GAUGAAGAACGCAGCGAAAUGCGAUAAGUAAUGUGAAUUGCAGAAUUCAGUGAAUCAUCGAAUCUUUGUACGCAUCUUGCGCUCCUUGGUAUUCUGAGGAGCAUGCCUGUUUGAGUGUCAUUAAAUUCUCAACUACACUGACUUUGAAUUGGUGUGGCUUGGAUUUGGGGGGAAAAUUGUUGUGGGCUUUUUGUAUAGUCUGCUCCCCUGAAAUUGAUUAGCGGUACCUUUGUGGAACUGUCUACAGGUGUGAUAAUUAUCUACAUCUUAGACAUCUGCUGGAAUGCUGCUUUCUAAACCUUACUUGUAUUGACAAUCUUGACCUCAAAUCAGGUAGGACUACCCGCUGAACUUAAGCAUAUCAAUAAGCGGAGGA
rnacentral:misc_RNA from 1 species